GAUGAACGCUGGCGGCGUGCCUAAUACAUGCAAGUCGAGCGAACAGACGAGGAGCUUGCUCCUCUGACGUUAGCGGCGGACGGGUGAGUAACACGUGGAUAACCUACCUAUAAGACUGGGAUAACUUCGGGAAACCGGAGCUAAUACCGGAUAAUAUAUUGAACCGCAUGGUUCAAUAGUGAAAGACGGUUUUGCUGUCACUUAUAGAUGGAUCCGAGCCGCAUUAGCUAGUUGGUAAGGUAACGGCUUAUCAAGGCAACGAUGCGUAGCCGACCUGAGAGGGUGAUCGGCCACCCUGGAACGGGGACACGGUCAAUACUCCUACGGGAGGCAGCAGUAGGGAAUCUUACGCAAUGGGCGAAAGCCUGACGGAGCAACGCCGCGUGAGUGAUGAAGGUCUUCGGAUCGUAAAACUCUGUUAUUAGGGAAGAACAAAUGUGUACGUAACUAUGCACUUCUUGACGGUACCUAAUCAGAAAGCCACGGCUAACUACGUG
rnacentral:rRNA from 1 species